UACGAAGGGGGCUAGCGUUGCUCGGAAUCACUGGGCGUAAAGCGCACGUAGGCGGAUUGCUAAGUCAGGGGUGAAAUCCUGGAGCUCAACUCCAGAACUGCCUUUGAUACUGAGGAUCUUGAGUUCGGGAGAGGUGAGUGGAACUGCGAGUGUAGAGGUGAAAUUCGUAGAUAUUCGCAAGAACACCAGUGGCGAAGGCGGCUCACUGGCCCGAUACUGACGCU
rnacentral:rRNA from 1 species